AUCUUAAAUAGAAAGAGGGUAUGCAUAUGGAUUUCACUGGUGUUAUUACAAGCAUUAUUGAUUUAAUCAAGACUUGCAUUCAGGCUUUCGGUUAAUUUUUUCAACUAAAAAACAGAGGAAAUAUUCAACGACUUGAUUGUUUC
rfam:Staphylococcus epidermidis RP62A, complete genome.